UUUAGAAAAGGAAAGCAAGAAAAUCAAGAAAUGUGAUCAGUCAACUCAAUUGCUAUAUAAACCUCUCUCACUAAGAAAAAAUAAAUUAAGCUCUCGUGACAGUAGUACGGAUUCUUCUUCUGAAGAUAAGUCUCGAAAACGGCAAAAGGUGAACAACGAGGAGAGACCGACGGCGGAAGAGGAGAGUGCGAAAGAAAAGUGUACGACUCCAGUUGUGGAUCCCGGAGAUCGUGACAGCUCCCAGGCUCAGAUCGCCGAAGACAGUGUGAAUGCCAGAAAGGAAGAGGCAUCAUCGGCUGUUGCACCUUACGUUAUUUGAAUUUGGAUUUGAAUUUGAGAGUUUUGAGAUGCGUCAUAUCUUUUAUUGAACUUAAGUGUGUUCGAGUUAUGUUUGGAUGUUCAUUUGCUUUUGUGGAACUUUUUUUUUAUACUGAAUUUGGAUAAUCUUGUUUUUAAAGUUUCUCAGCCAGUUGGUUAUAGACCUAUACCUUGGUGCGUGCUUUUGUCACAGUCUCGGCUGGUAUUGAAACAUCAUCUUUUGGAUAAGAAUCUUCUCUCUGUGUAUAUAUACUUGCUCGAGUGGACUUUGCAAUUUCCAAUUACAUAUGGACCAGGCAGUUAGUCAACUUCUUUUUACGAUCAAACACAUUCAGUUAAGGAUGCAAAGGUCCUGAAUGCAGGAGAUCCAACAGCUGUUACUGGGGCCAACAUAUUGCCAUCUGGAACA